GACGAACCGUCCAACCGUUAUUCGGAAUUACUGGGCUUAAAGGGUGCGUAGGCGGCGCGGUAAGUUGGGUGUGAAAUCCCUCGGCUCAACCGAGGAAUUGCGCUUGAUACUGCCGUGCUCGAGGGAGACAGAGGUGAGCGGAACUUAGGGUGGAGCGGUGAAAUGCGUUGAUAUCCUAAGGAACACCAGUGGCGAAAGCGGCUCACUGGGUCUCUUCUGACGCUGAGGCACGAAAGCUAGGGGAGCGAACGGG
rnacentral:rRNA from 1 species